GAUGAACGCUGGCGGCGUGCCUAAUACAUGCAAGUCGAGCGAACGGACGAGAAGCUUGCUUCUCUGAUGUUAGCGGCGGACGGGUGAGUAACACGUGGAUAACCUACCUAUAAGACUGGGAUAACUUCGGGAAACCGGAGCUAAUACCGGAUAAUAUUUUGAACCGCAUUGUUCAAAAGUGAAAGACGGUCUUGCUGUCACUUAUAGAUGGAUCCGCGCUGCAUUAGCUAGUUGGUAAGGUAACGGCUUACCAAGGCAACGAUGCAUAGCCGACCUGAGAGGGUGAUCGGCCACACUGGAACUGAGACACGGUCCAGACUCCUACGGGAGGCAGCAGUAGGGAAUCUUCCGGAAUGGGCGAAAGCCUGACGGAGCAACGCCGCGUGAGUGAUGAAGGUCUUCGGAUCGUAAAACUCUGUUAUUAGGGAAGAACAUAUGUGUAAGUAACUGUGCACAUCUUGACGGUACCUAAUCAGAAAGCCACGGCUAACUACGUG
rnacentral:rRNA from 1 species